AACGAACGCUGGCGGCAGGCCUAAACAUGCAAGUCGAGCGGGCAUAGCAAUAUGUCAGCGGCGGACGGGUGAAUAACACGUGGGAACAUGCCCUUUGGUACGGAACAACUCAGGGAAACUUAGAGCUAAUACCGUAUGUGCCGGUAACGGGAAAGAUUAUCGCCAAAGGAUUGGCCCGCGUCCGAUUAGCUAGUUGGUGAGGUAACGGCUCACCAAGGCGACGAUCGGUAGCUGGUUUGAGAGAACGAUCAGCCACACUGGGACUGAGACACGGCCCAGACUCCUACGGGAGGG
rnacentral:rRNA from 1 species